UCGAAUUUUUACUCCAACUUUACUCGUUUCUUUACUAUGUGACACUAUGAAACAAAAAAAGGAGAAAAAUCAAUCAUAAGUAUAACAGUAAUUUGACAGCUUUAGAAAAACGAUAAUUAGAGGCAAUAUUUUUAAAAUAAAUAAACAUCAACUAAUUCUAUCGUAACAAAAUAUCGACUCCGGCCUGCAUGCUCUAUCUCCGUCCGUCUUUCGAAAUGAGACAGUGAUGGCUGAGCGCUCGUGCCAGACGGACCUGUACUAGGUGUCCCCAAAACAAAUAUAAGAUUUACUUAUAAAAACUGUGCUGUGUUGUGUGUCCUAGUGAUAUACCGUGUGCACCAAAACCUUUAAGUUAUAAUGGGUAACAAGCAAUUGAAAAAAAGAAGACAUCUCGAAAAAGACAACUCGGAAGAUUCCAACAAACAAUGGAACUAACGAAAAGAAGAAAAUUGGAUAAUUUCACAGCCGAACAUGAUACUAUAUCUUUAGACUACAUCGAACUGCAAAAUAUGGAAAUGGAAUCUCCGAUUUCAUCAACCACUGACAUUC